AGAGUUUGAUCCUGGCUCAGGAUGAACGCUGGCGGCGUGCUUAACACAUGCAGGUCGAGCGAAGCGAUAAGGUGAAAUUUUUCGGAAUGAAGCCAUAUUGACUUAGCGGCGGACGGGUGAGUAACGCGUGGGUAACCUGCCUCAUACAGGGGGAUAACAGUUAGAAAUGACUGCUAAUACCGCAUAAGCGCACGGGACUGCAUGGUCCGGUGUGAAAAACCGAGGUGGUAUGAGAUGGACCCGCGUCUGAUUAGCUGGUUGGCGGGGUAACGGCCCACCAAGGCGACGAUCAGUAGCCGACCUGAGAGGGUGGCCGGCCACAUUGGAACUGAGACACGGCCCAAACUCCUACGGGAGGCAGCAGUGGGGAAUAUUGCACAAUGGGGGAAACCCUGAUGCAGCAACGCCGCGUGAGUGAAGAAGUAUUUCGGUAUGUAAAGCUCUAUCAGCAGGGAAGAGAAUGACGGUACCUGACUAAGAAGCCCCGGCUAACUACGUG
rnacentral:rRNA from 1 species